AGCACUCUAAGCACAUGUUUUCUCACUGAGCUUCACCAGAAAUCCUGUACCCUAGUGAAGAGAGCAGCGGGACAGGCAUCACUUCUGGCUCUGUGAUACUGAUGGGUGCCGUCCCUCCCUUCCCUCUCUCUGUGUUUCACCCGACUGACUGUACCCAGGCCCAGACAACUGGCCUUGCUAGCAAGGCUGCCCACGGACUGCGACACUUUUGUUUUCCCUUAGAAGCUGCAGGGUGUGACAUUUAUUAGUCUAGCCAGUCAGCCCUCUCAGACCUGCAACACCUACUAUAUUUUAUAGAGCACAGCAGUGCAGAUGCACCCGCCACUGUGGUCAGUCGUGAAAACCAGCACUCCUCCACACCUCAUACCUGGCCCAGGGCCUGGCGGGAGGCGCCCGGGACCUGAAACAAUCAGACAGAAGCUGAGCCUCCCGGGGUUUAUCAUCGCCAACUGGAGGACAAGGGAUCCAGGGCUGACCCCACUUGGCCUCAUUCCAGGUUUGGGCCUGGAAUCACUCAAAGCUCCUGACAAGUCUUCCUCUGAAAUAAAGCUGGGAUUGGAAUCAAGAUAAGAAGGUGGAAUCUGGGGAACUCAAGAAAGGACCCUGCUUAUGCCUUUGGACAAUCACAGCAGUAUACAAGGACCUGGAGUUUAGGAACGUGUUAAGUUCUCUUGCAAUGGCAAGGCCUUGGCAGGUGGAGAGGCUCUAUUGGAACUCACUGCCAGUCUGCUAACCUUCAAAAAGGAGAAAAAUGAAGUCCGAGGUUCAUAAAAACCGGGGAUGUGUUUUACAUGGAAAAAGAACUAGAAAUUUACUGUCAAGUUCCAGAUGCCAAGGAAGCAUGAAAGUUACGGUUUAACUUCUUUAACAAACCUGUUCCCAGCAGCUAGAAGGCAGAGACUCUCAGAAAGACCCCGAGUCACUUUGGAAACAUGAAGCUGCCUGACACGCAGUAGCACCCAGCCCAGGUCCUCUCAGAAGACUGGGAGAGGGGUGCAUGGUGAAGUCUCUGAAGCAGCUUGUGUUAUUUGAGUUAUAAAAAUUCCCCUUGUUCUGAGGCUGUGCAUAUUUUCUUUCUUUCUUUCUUUUUUUUUUUUUAUCGGUACCAGGGAUCGAACUCAGGACUGCCUGCUUGCAGGCGCUUAUGCCGCUGAGCUAAAUCCCCAGCCCCGGCUGUGCAUAUUUUCACCUAUGAAAAUGAACACUUGUCAUGGGAGUUUUUCACAGGAAGUGAAAUAUAUUUGAAAAUCAACUUUAAUGAUAUCAUUUCACAAUAACAAGGCUUUGCUGAUGGCAGGUGUGUGUGAGUCAGGGCAGACACACCUUUGUCUGUAAAAAGACUCUCUAAGUGUGAUCCUGACUGUAAUGUACCACUGUUUCAUCAUGUGAUGGGGAAGAAAGAAAUACCAUAGUAAAAAUAGGCUGAAGUAUUUGUAGUCCAAUGGUCAACUUGUAACAUCCAGCUAAAGUGAAUCAGCGUGGUACUGGGUGGAGGCCCCAUCUGAGAAUUGU